rnacentral:lncRNA from 1 species
CUCCAAUUGUGUCUUCAUAAAAAACUGCAUUCUCUGCAACUCCAGCUCCUUGGCAAACUUCAUCCUCUGCUUCUCCAUUUCCACUAGCUGCUGCACCUUGGAGCUCUCUGCGUGCUCAUAUGCUUCCCCAAAUUUCAGUAUAGCCCGGGUCAGCUCUCUAACCGAAUUCCCCCAAUUGGCAUUCUUCUCCUCUUUAUCUUUCUCUUUCUCUCUCUCUUUCUCUUUUCCUUUCGCUCCUACUAAAUACGCCCCUGGCCUCACUGCGCUCAUCAAAUUAAUUUCCCUCUGUUGAACCCUAGGCCUUUUAGGCUCAUACGUCUCCGGUGGAAAACUAUCAGUGGAGUCUGGAGACUGCUCGUCCGGUUCGGAAGGCGACGAUUCCGAAUCGAUCGGUGCCGGCCUUUUAAACUGUUUUGGCUGUUGUUUUUGGAAUUGAGGGACUGAUCU